rnacentral:rRNA from 1 species
GACGAACGCUGGCGGCGUGCUUAACACAUGCAAGUCGAACGGAAAGGCCCUGCUUUUGUGGGGUGCUCGAGUGGCGAACGGGUGAGUAACACGUGAGUAACCUGCCCUUGACUUUGGGAUAACUUCAGGAAACUGGGGCUAAUACCGGAUAGGAUCUCCUGCUGCAUGGUAGGGGUGGGAAAGUUUCGGCGGUUGGGGAUGGACUCGCGGCUGAUCGGCUUGUUGGUGGGGUAGGGGCUUACCAAGGAUUUGACGGGUAGCCGGCCUGAGAGGGUGACCGGCCACAUUGGGACUGAGGGAGGGCCCAGACUCCUACGGGAGGCAGCAGUGGGGAGUAUUGCACAAUGGGCGGGAGCCUGAUGCGGCAACGCCGCGUGCGGGAUGACGGCCUUCGGGUUGUAAACCGCUUUCGCCUGUGACGAAGCGUGAGUGACGGUAAUGGGUAAAGAAGCACCGGCUAACUACGUG